ensembl:ncRNA lncRNA:CR45332 long non-coding RNA:CR45332
UAACUUCUACUAAAAAUCAAAAUUUACAUCAAUACUAAAUGAAAUCAAAAUCAAAUAUAUAAUAAUUGAAAAUCAAAGAGUCUCAGAGUGAAAUACAUAAAAAGCAUAAAUAUUGUUUCUGUCAAACGAAGCGAACACUGUAAAAGUUUGCGAUUAAAUAAAAAAUCGGAUGACACAAAAACAAAAUAUCACACCAGUGUCGCAAAAAAAAAUUCAGAAUCCAUCAGUGAACAGUAAACGGUGACAAAAAAAGUUUAUAAUAGAAUUGUGCAUAAUUCAUAAUUCAUUUUCAAUGCAAUGCAACUGAUUCAAAUUAAUCCAAAUUAGAUAAAGUAAACAGGAAUAACAUAUGCUUAUUAAAUCACUGAUAAAAACUUCAUUUAAUCGAGAUUCAUUUGACCUAAAUCCAUGUUAAUCGCGAAAUAUAGCAGUUUGAUCAAAGUGCAAAUGGCAAGAAGCAGCGGAAAUUGUAUUGACAACACAGUGCCGGAAUGCACAUAAAAUAAAACAAAUAUCAAAUUGCAAUGUUUUAAACGGCAAGCUGCCAUUAUUAGAAUAUAUAAAUGCAUUAAAGUGCUCUUACAAAAUUGUAUAACUCUGUGCAGUCGCGUUUUUGUGUUGGUGUCGCCUAAUUGAGCAUGCAUUAAAAUAAUAGGCAAUAUAAAUAAUCUCGUCAUAAAUAUAAGAGAAUGCUUACAUAAUUUAGGCUUUUGAAACAUUUAAAGCCACGAAGUAAAAAAGCGUAUAUCUGUCUAUGUGUGUUUCCAUGUGUGUGUGACUGUGACAGUGCGGAUGAAAUAAAUGCUUUAAUUAAAUACAUGGCAUAAACAAUCGGCCAGCUCGGAUUACCAUUGGGAGUACGCAGAAAAAAAUAAUUCAGCUGGU